CUGUAAUGCACCUCAAAUAGCAAGGUCCACAAUCCAAAUCACCCCUGCCAGGUCAUCUACAUUUGCAGGGCUCAGGUCUUCACUAACUCUUGCCCUUUAACCCCGUAAGGACACAUGACAUGUGUGACAUGUCAUGAUUCCCUUUUAUUCCAGAAGUUUGGUCCUUAAGGGGUUUAAACCAAUUUUUUCUAAAUUUAUAGAGUAGCCUUCUGUGUUGAAAUGUUUUAGCAAAACGCAAGUGGAUCACAUGUACUGACAUCGUCUGAUCUAUACUUCUACCUUCUGC